rnacentral:lncRNA from 1 species
AACAGCCACAAAUAACUACCAGGUGCUCCCCGUGUGCAGGAAACACUACAAGCUCAAGGUGUGGAGUUGGCCCUCAAGGGAAUCACCCCCUCCAUGAGGAGUCAAGUAAAAACAGGGAUGGCUGCUUCUGGAGGCUCCAGGCAGGAGGGCCAAGCUAGUGCUGUCAGAGAAAGAUGACUUCCAACAGCAGAAAGCACCCAUGGGCCACAGAACCUGAGUGACAAGGGGAAAAUGGGCCCAAAAGCCCCCUGGAAAUCCACCCCAUCCAGAAGAGGACUAUGAGCUUCCGCAGUUAUGGAACACAGUUCUAAGCCAACCUGAGGCCACAGCAACUAAGAAUCCAGCAGACGUCGGGUCCACCCGUGCAUUUCUACAUCCUUUUUCGAAUGUAGAAAUUACGGGCCCAUUUUCUUGUCCAUUGUUUCCCUGUUUUCUCUUGCUGACACCCUGGUCUUGAGAUGUGUUGUUGUGUGGAGGGACUAGUGUAGUGUUAUGAAAUAAAUAAAGGCUGUAGAGC